UACGAAGGGGGCUAGCGUUGCUCGGAAUCACUGGGCGUAAAGCGCACGUAGGCGGCUUCUCAAGUCAGGGGUGAAAUCCUGGAGCUCAACUCCAGAACUGCCUUUGAUACUGAGGGGCUCGAGUCCGGGAGAGGUGAGUGGAACUGCGAGUGUAGAGGUGAAAUUCGUAGAUAUCCGCAAGAACACCAGUGGCGAAGGCGGCUCACUGGCCCGGUACUGACGCUGAGGUGCGAAAGCGUGGGGAGCAAACAGG
rnacentral:rRNA from 1 species